rnacentral:rRNA from 1 species
UACCAGCACCCCGAGUGGUCGGGACGAUUAUUGGGCCUAAAGCAUCCGUAGCGGUCCUACAAGUCUUCCGUUAAAUCCACCUGCUUAACAGAUGGGCUGCGGAAGAUACUAUAGGGCUAGGAGGCGGGAGAGGCAAGCGGUACUCAGUGGGUAGGGGUAAAAUCCUCUGAUCCAUUGAAGACCACCAGUGGCGAAGGCGGCUUGCCAGAACGCGCUCGACGGUGAGGGAUGAAAGCUGGGGGAGCAAACCGG